rnacentral:ncRNA from 1 species
AGCGAAAACACCAUCCAGCAUUCCGUGGUGCAUCGAAUCAUCACCAAGAACCAAACAGUUUCGGGACGUCCUCGUCGUACUGUUGCAUUGCAGCCCCUGUAGCGAAAGGGAAUCGGGUUAAUAUUCCCGACACUGUCCACGGAGAUUGGUGUGUGUCGGGCCUUUGGUUCGGCGUGCGCCCAGCGCGGUAACGCAACCGACCUCGAAGACGUCGGCGAGAGUUCUGGGAAGAGUUCUCUUUUCUUCGUAAGGAGUGCAUCCACCCCCUAGAAUCGGCUUGUUCGGAGAUAGGGAUCUAGCUUCUGUAAAGCACCACCCUUCUUGUGGUGUCCGGAACGCUCUUGUCGGCCCUUGAAAAUCCGAGCGAGGCAGUAUAAUUUUCGUGGCAGGCCGUACCCAUGUCCGCAGCAGGUCUCCAAGGUGAACAGCCUCU